AGAAAAUCUGGUUUAAAGAAAUAUGCUAUUCAGUUAGAAUAGCUACAUUUUUAUGAUGGUAAAAUUAAUUUUUAUUGUGGUCCUCCUUAUACAAGAGAUAUCAAACAACAGUUUCCUCAAAGGUGAUUUUUUUUAAAUGAGGUUUUAUACAAGAUGAAUGUACAACAUGUUUUAUGACACCUUAGUCAAUGAAAAAGGUUGUUUUUUUGUUUUGUUUUGUUCUGGUUUGUUUUUUUUCUUUGAGAUGGAGUUUCACUUUUGUUGCCCAGGCUGGAGUGCAGUGGCGCGAUCUCGGCUCACUGCAACCUCCACCUCCCGGGUUCAAGCAAUUCUCCUGCCUCCUCCUCCGGAGCAGCUGGGAUUACAGGCACCCGCCACCACGCCCGGCUAAUUUUUUGUAUUUUUAGUAGAGAUGGGGUGUCGCCCUGUUGGGCAGGCUGGUCUCGAACUCCUGACCUCAGGUGAUCCGCCUGCCUCGGCCUCCCAAAGUGCUGGGAUUACAGGCAAGAGCCACUGCACCUGGCCAAAACAGGUUUUUUAAUGAACAAAUUAUUGUUAGCUAACUAAAGAUGGGAAUAGAGUUUAUAAAAUCCAAAGGAAUAGAUGAUGAGCAUGUUCACUUGAAUAGAAUUGUUUUAACUGGGGUGUAGGUACACUCUGUUCAAUUAUAAUAACUAGCCAUAAUAAGGUCUCCUUUUCUUCCUUAAAGCGCGUACUUGCUUUGUAAGUGAUCUGAAGCGAGGACUAAAAAUCCAAGCAGCAAAAUUUAAUAUUGAUGGGAAUAAUGAGCGUCCCUCCCCACCCCCAAAUGUUGACUAUCCAUUAGAUGGAGAGAAGAUUUUACAUAUCCUUGGAUCAAUCAGGUUAGAUCUUAAAUUUUUACGGCAAAGUAGUAAACUAAAAUAAACUUUUGGCUUUUAAAAAUAUUUGUAUGAGCCUUUAUUUCACUAUUGCCAUUUUAACAGUUCAGUGUUUAUUGUUAAGCCUCAUUAUUCAUGAUUAAUUUUAUUCAGCUUUUUUUUUUUGAGACAAGGUCUUGCUGUGUUGCCCAGGCUGGAGUGCAGUGGCACGAUCUCGGCUCACUGUAACCUUCAUCUCCUAGGUCCAAGCAAUUCUCCUGCCUCAGCCUCCCAAGUAGCUGGGAUUACAGGUGCCUGCCACCAUGCCUGGCUAAUUUUUGUAUUUUUUAGUAGAGACAGGUUUCCGCCAUGUUAGCCAGGUUGGUCUCAAACUCCUGACCUCAGGUGAUCCGCCUACCUUGGCCUCCAGCAGUGCUGAGAUUACAGGCAUGAGCCACUGUGCCCGGCCUAUUCAGCUUUUUAAAUUUUU
rnacentral:lncRNA from 10 species